rnacentral:lncRNA from 1 species
UUUUCUUUUGCAAACGGUACCGUUUUAUUUCUCUCCCCCCGAAUCCCUUUUCUUUCCCGAUACCCUUUUCUUUCUCAGCCUAUUCUUUGCUUGACUAAAAUUAAAAACCUGUUCUUCUAUUUUAUACCCGAAAAUCCUCUCUACCUGUUGUUCUAUUUUAUUUCUCAGUCUGUUCUUUGAUUUCUCGAAACCUAAACACCCACUGUGCCCCCUUUCCUCAGAGGCUGUAACCGAGCAACUGUUUACCUAGUUUCCCGACGCCUAGCCACUUUACCCAGCAGCGAACUUAGUCUUAGCAAGUAUGUGAGGUUUUUGAUGUUUUUUUGUUUGGGUUUGGUAAAAUUUACUUUAGUUUUCAAUCGUGUUAAAAUUUUAGAAAUUUUAAUUUGGGUAGUUCAAAUGUGCUUUAUUCAUUAACUGACCUAGAAUUCGGAUUUUGGAUUUAGAUUAAUAAAUUACAUGCCAUUAAGAUCGAUGGGUUACGUGAAGAAAUCCAUUCAGAGGGAUUUGGACAAUUGCAAUGCUAAGUUUUAAAUGAUUGAUAGAUUUUUGUUUCUUUUCUUUUAAGGAUGAUAAAUUUUUUUUAAAAUUUUUGUAGUUGUCAGGAUUUUUUGUAAGACUUUAUUAUCAAAAUGUAAGACCUCAAAGCGAGGAAAGCUCUCUCCGACUAUUUUUUUUGUUCACAAAAUUUGAACUCAGAGACUUUACUAAUCAGUAGGGACUUAACCUUGUUAGAGAAAAGUUAAAUUCAUGAGACCUUCGGGUUAAAGAUUACCUAAAUUCUCAGCUUGAGUUAGUGGCAACUUUAUAGUGAAUGAGAGCAGAUCUGUGGUGUUUCAAAUCUGGGGUACACUUUACACCAUUUAGAACUAUCUCAAAUUUGGAGUCAUUGCCAUUGGGUUGAAUUUGAUGAAACAUCUAUAGGCAAUAAUACAAUUAAUCACAGUGGCAUUCCAGGGUAUGAUUGUUUUUUUUAUUGAAGCAUAUAAAAGAACAUAUAUGUUGCAUUUUCUGCUUACAUAGUUCUUCCUUCCAGCUCUGAAUUGUAUGGACUUGAGCCUGCCCUGAUGGCCUUGCUUGGACUGCCCACAAUGGGACAAAAGAAGUAUUUGAUAGCAUGAAUAGUAUUUGUUAGCAAUAAAAUAAACUAAUGUAAUUAUUAGAAUAGUAAUUAUAUUUUUUAUACUUGUUUUUGUUAUUCUUUAAAAAAAAUUAGUAAUUUAUUAAUCCUUUGCUAAACAAAUUUUUUCUUUAAUGCAGUUGCGAAGAUGGUUGCACACAAAUUCACUGUUGAUUUGAAUAAACCUCUUGUCUUCCAGGUACGAGUAAGAUCAUAUGUUUGAAUUUGGUUUAUCUUAUGGAACAAGCAUAUGUGGUGACAGUUUUGGUGUUACUGGUUUUCAGUUCACUUAUUUAGUUUCUUAUGUGAUUAAAAUAGCUACAUAUAGUCAUGUUAUGUGAUUACAUUGGCAAGUUCUUGAUAUAGAGCACGAUUUUGCAGGGCAGUUACUAAGCUCCAAAUAUUCUAUUUCUUUCUCUUUUUUGGUCAGACUGAAUUAAGCAGGCCAAAGUGUGUAAAGGUAAUAGCAGUGAAUUUCACCCUUAUUUUUAUAACUGCUGCUUUCUCUUCACUUGUACUUAUUAUUUAUUUUCUCCUUUGAUGAAAUGUUGCCAGCCUCUUGAGUAGUUGUGUUAGAUUGUUGUUUAGGAAAUUUGUUAGCAUUUGAGGAAGCUUCACGAAUUUUUGUUUCCUAUUUGCAAGCUGGUUUAGGUAAAUAUUUGCUAGCACUUGGUGUGUGUAUCUACUGUACUGGGUUUAUGAAUGUUAAUUUGUUUUCUUGCAGGGUUUUGGUUUGGGGAAACAUUUAAGUUUGGGUUUGGAGAUACGUAGUUAUCAGCAUUAGUUGGCAGAUAACAUUGGCAGAUAACAUUGUCCAAGUGCAGGUUGCAGCUCUUUGCCAAGGUGCGCUAUCCUUUUUAAUAUCUGGUACAGACUAGAAUUAAUGGUUGUUUUUAUUCCUGUUUUCUUUAGUCUUUGACCACUAUCACAUAAAGAGCUUGAUAUUGAAAAACAGAAGCAUAAUGCUUGGUAUAUAUUUUCCAGAUAUUGUAGAAUUAACACGAAAACACAAAUCGCAUAUUUUUAUAAAACAAAAAAUAAAGGGGUCACAAUCCUUCUUAUCCACUCUCCAACAUUCGCUUUUUGCAGUAGUAAAUAUAUUAAAAAAAUUAUGUCCAAAAUGUAAAUAAAAUAAUGAUAGAAGCAAGCAAUCUCAUCUGCAGAAGGUGAUGAUUUUGUUUUGCUUUUAUUCGGUAGAAACAAUGGUUACAUUUGAUUUUAGUGGAAUUUUUGUUUAUUCCUUUUGGGUUAGGAUAAAAUCAAAGUGGUGAGGAGCACCGACAUUCCCUUUUUUACACGUAUUCAUUUUCCUUAAGCUGCCAAAAUAACAAACUAAGGACUUCCAAUUCUGUGAAUUUUCUGAAUAACUUUUUUAUUAUUGUUGGGUGGGAAGAAUGCUCUAAGUGUAUGACUACUCAAUUUAUUUAAAUUAAACCAAUUUUACUAUUCCUCUUCCCUUGUCUCCAUCUAUAUAAAAUUCUGUCUUUUAUUUUAUUUUCCGGGAAAAACUAAAAUGAGAAAAAAACUCUAUUGUGGGUUUUUCCAAUAGACCAAUAAAAUAAAUAGAGUGAAAAUUAUAUUAAAAUAAAAGUGAAAUGAUUUAUGCAUGCAAAUAAAAUAUCUUGAUAUUUGUGAAAAAUGUUCCCCCAAGUCAUGAUCAAAAUGCUGAAAAUUGCAGUCCAAAAAUAUAUUUGUUGAACCCCACUAAAAUCCUUCUGCUGCACUGAUCAUAUGUGGUGGUUGUGGGACACUGGAAUUCAGCCAGUGUUUCAACUCUCACUGAUGCAGCCAUCUUUGAAUAUAUAAAAUUAUUCAUAAAUAGAUUCCAUGAUUUUGAUCUAAUUGAAUAAAUAAAAAUUAAUGUUUUAACUUUUAUCACAUUUAAUAUAAAAACACAAACAUAAAUGAUCAUAUCUAAGGAUAAUACCCCCUUUCCUAGAGAUUUCACUUUGUUUUAUUUAUUUAUUUAAAGAAAUUGGAAUCCAAUGAAGCGUGUUUAUUGCCAAUGAUGUUUUAACACUUCAUUAUCUUUUUACUUUUAAAUUGAUGGUAUUAAUUGAGGUGAUGGGAAAAUCGUUCAUACAUACCAACUAUGGUGGGGGCAGCUUAUGCUUACAAUUUUGUUGCCAGUUUAUUGGCUGACACUGUAAGCUUCCUUUUGUUGGCUGAUUUUUGACACACCCAUUUAUUCUACCAACCUAACUUCCAUCUUCAAUCUUCAACCAUGAUGCUUUUCCCUUUUACUAUUUUUUCACUACUCAAAUAUGAUAUUAUAUAUGCAUAGAUUUUCAGAUAACCAGAAUUGAAAUUUAAACAUUUAUGUUUAAUUUUGAUUUUAUUUUUUAUUUUUAUAAUUUUAAAUUAUUUGUUAAUGUAACAUAUAAUACUAUGUUAAAUUAUAUAUAUUUUUUAUUUUUAUAAUUUUCAAUUUAGCUAAAAUAAUGAGUAAAUAGACAAAAAAAUAUAAAUAUUAAGAUCUAAAUUUACUGUUAUAUAUUAUUAUUUCUUCGCGUUGAGGAGCAAAAGUUACUCAUUUGAGAUAAAUUAAUUACUAAGUAAAAUGACUUAAAUUAAUAUCAUAUUUUGAAUUUAGAAUGAAUUUAAUUUUUCUUCUAAUAAAGUUACUCAUUUCAAGGAUAUUAAAAUUUUAAAGUAAUUGUUUUCUUAAAAAUAUUUUAUAUUAAUUAUUAUCUCAUGAUAAUAGCUAAAUAAAAAAUUACAAAUUAGAAGAGAAGAUGAUAACUUGAGUUCUAGUUUUUAGAUUUUAAUUGUGUUAUUAAUUUAUUAUUUUAAAUUCUAAAUUUAAAUUCAUUAAUUUUUAUAUUUAGUUUUAAAGUUAAAAUAUUCAUAGAAAAUUUAAUUUAAAUAAUAUUUUUUAUUUAUCGUUAAAAGUAUAUAAUUUAAAGUUCUAAUUUCAAAAAUAAAACAUAAUAUAAUAUUUAUCAUAGAAAUAAAUAUUAUUUAAUUAAAAUAAAAUUUUUAAAGGAAAAUAAUAUUUAUCUUAAUGUUAAAAUUAUUUUAAUAUUUUUCAUAAAUAUUAUCAUAAAAAUAAAUUGAUCGAUGUUAAUGUGUAGUAUAAAGUUAAAAAGUUCAUGGAAAUUUAAUUUAAAAAUGAACUCAAAAUAGAUGAAAAAUUAAUAAUUAUUAACUUUAUUAACAUAUAAUUAUUAAUUUGUUAAUUUUUGUCUUUUAAGUAUAGUAAACAUAAAGGUGAUGAAAACACAAAUUUAAAAAUUAAAGGAGUAUAAUUAAAGGGUUAAAAUUUAAACUUAAAAUUUAAAGAUGAUAAUCAUAACUUACAUAAACAUUUAAAGUUUAUGAUUAUCAUAACUUACAUAAUCAUUUAAAGAAUAAAAAAAAACUUUGGACCAUAAUUUACAGAACUUACAUAAAUAUAUAUCACAUCAUAACUUGCAUAACUUAUAUAAAUAUAUAUCAUAUCAUAACUUACAUAAAACUUUGAAUUAAAAUAUAUAAAAAUCACAGAAAUUUGAGUAUGUAUUACAUAAAACUUAUAAAUAAACAACUUACCUGAAUUAGUUUACACCCAUUAAAUACUUGAUACUUGAUAUGUAUUAUCUAUUUUAGUAUAAUGACAUGAUUUAAAUCAAUUUAGAACACUUAAGUAACCGUAAUUUAUUGUCAACUUUAGACUUCAAGAGCUACGAAAUGGAUAAGAGUUGGAUGAAUUUGUCAAGGGUAAGCAAUGACUAUCGAAAUGGAGUACAAACUUUUCUAAAUUUUACAUUUCAAAAUGCAAACUAAGAGAAUAUGAUUCUUUGCCCGUGUAAGAAGUAUGGCAACAUCAAUUGGCAUAUUCGUGAAGUUGUCUACAAACAUCUAAUUGUUAAUGGCUUUAUUCGGAAGUAUAAAAAAUAGAUUUUUCAUGGAGAGUGUACACCUCGUAGAACUUCUUCAACGAUUAAUUCGGCUUAUCCUCAUAAUGCCUACCAUUAGUCUGUUAGAGAAGAUGACAUGGAAGGUAUGUUGCGGGAUACAUUUAAUAUGCGCAGUCAUGGUUUGCAAUCGUUUCCACUUGAAAUUAUUGCAUCCGAUGAUUGUGAUAUUGGUGGAAAUGUUUUUACCGAAUGGGGAAGAAGUGUACUUAAUGAAGAGCCAAAUGGAGAAGUGGCGAAGAUUUACAAGUUACUUAAUGAAAUUAAUGAAGAACUUUAUGAGGGAUCAAAAAAUUUAAAAUUGUCCUUCUGCAUUUAUCUUUUUCACUUAAAAUGUCUGGGAGGGUGGACCAGAAACUCUGACAUUACUGUUAGAGUUUUUGAGAGAUAUGUUUUUGUUUGCAAAAAUUUCUCAUUCAUGCAAAUAUAUGAAGAAACUGAUAAAAGAUUUAGGCCUUGGGUACGACAAAAUUCAUAGUUGCCCAAAUAAUUGCAUGUUGUAUUGAAGUGGUCGGAAAAAGUAACAGUCUUGUCAUGUUUGCGGUAAAUCUCAUUGGAUGAAUAGUAAUACAAAAGAUGUGAGUGAGGAUGAAGGUGAGACACAGUUAAGAAAGAAGCCAAUAAAGAUUUUGCGAUGUUUUCCACUAAUACCAAUGCUUCAAAGGUUUUUCAUGUCGUUAAAGACAGUCGAGUCUAUGAGGUGGCAUCAUGAUCAACGAACCAAUGAUGGAUUAUUAAGGCAUCCUGCAGAUUCUUUAGCUUGAAAAUCAUUUGAUAGUAAAUUUUCAAGCUUUGCAAGCGAUCCUCGGAAUGUGAGGAUUGAACUAGCAUCUAAUGGAUUUAAUCAUUUUAAAAUCAUGAGUACUCUGUAUAGUACUUGGCCUGUAGUGCUUGUUCCUUACAAUAUGCCUCUGUGGAUUUGCAUGAAGCAAUCUUUUUUUAUCUUAUUUAUGAUUAUCCCUGGAGAGAAAGGUCCCGGGAAUGAUAUCGACAUUUAUAUGCAGCCACUUAUUGAAGAGUUGAAAUAGUUAUUGGCGGGUGUUGAAACAUAUGAUGUCUUGAGAAAACUUUUGUUUACGAGCAACUUUGUUGUGGACUAGUAAUGAUUUUCGGCUUAUCCUAAUUUAUCUUGUUGGAGUACUAAAGGACGUUAUGCUUGUCAUUGUGCGGCGCAAACAUGUUCGAAGUGGUUACAUAAUAGGAAGUUUUCUUAUAUGGGGCAUUGUCGGUGGUUAGUGGUUAUAUAAUGGGAAGUUCUUUUAUAUGGGGCAUCGUCGGUGGUUAGAUGAAAAUCAUAGAUUUAGAUUUCAGAGGACUCUAUUUGAUGGUGCUGAAGAGUUGAGAGAAGCUUUUGAGUAGAUCAUUGGUUCUGAAAUCUUAUUCAUAUUAAAAGAUAUCAAUUUUAGUUAUGGGAAGAUGAAUCAACCACCUAACACGCAAACAAAGAGAAGAUUGAGGGAGGUGUACGUUGGCGAUGUUGACUGGUAGAUUGAUGAUGAAUUUGAUGAAAAGGAUGAUUCUAAUGAGGCGGACUUGUGGAAAAAAAAGAAAUAUUUUUUUUAAGUUGCAUUAUUGGGAGUAUCACAUUUUACGACAUAAUCUUGAUGUCAUGCAUAUGGAAAAAAAUGUUUGCGAGAACAUCAUCGGGACAAUUUUGAAUGUUGAUAAAAAAUCGAAAGAUAAUCUUCAAAGUCAACUUGAUCUAGUUGACUUGGGAAUUCGAUGUGAUCUUCACCUCCAAUUACUUCUGAAUAGAAAAUCUCGAUUGUUGCCUUCUAUUUUUCAAUGUUGAAGAAAGAAAAAAAGUAUUCUACACGGUGUUGAAGGAUAUAAAAGUUCCAGAUGCGUAUGCAUCAAAUAUAUCUCGAUGUACGAGUCUUAAAAAUCGAAGACUAUAUUCCUUAAAAUCAUAUGAUUAUCACAUCUUGAUGCAAGAGUUACUGCAAGUUGCUUUACGGUGUUGUAUGUCAAAAAAGGCGACGUCUUGUAUAAUUGAACUAUCCAAUAUAAUGAAAGCUAUUUAUGGUAAAGUUUUGAUUAUUGAAGAACUUGGGAAAGUAUAAGAUCGAGCCGUCUUGACUUUAUGCAAUUUGGAGAAGAUCUUUCUACCUUCGUUCUUUAUUAUUAUAGUACACUUGCUAAUCCAUCUCCCUCAUGAAGCAAAACUUGGUGGAUUGAUUUUCUAUCGGUGAAUGUAUCCUAUAGAUGUGCUAAUUUAUUUGAAAAGUUUUUAUUCAUUCAUGAAUAUACCUUUAGUUACAAUUUUUGAUAAUGUUGUAUAUCAUGUUUAGGUUUCUAUGUAAAUUGAAGUCUUAUUGUCAUAAUAAGCGUUAUCCAGAAGGAUCAAUUGCUGAAAGUUACUUGGCAAAAGAGUAUGACUUUUUGAUCUAGAUAUUUAGAAGAUGUUAAAACAAGAAUGAAUAGACCAAGUAGAAAUGCUGGACUCACUAAUCAUCACUUACCUGAAAUUUAUUUAUUUCGAAGUUAUGGAGAACCAAUCGGUAAAUUGCACAUUUAGAUGAUAGAUCUUGGUACAAGCACAUUAAUAUGUUCUUUUUCACCAUGAUUCAAUUGAAACAUUACGCAAGUAAGUUUUAAAAUUUGAUAAAUAUUUAUCUUUUUAAUUUAUUUAUCUUCUAACCAAGUAAUCCACUUUUUAACGUAGUAAGUGCAAACAAGUCUUGAGAUCUCGUUCACGCUCUCGAAGAUUACAACAUUGAGAGAUUUAUAAGUUAUUUAUAGAAUCUUUUCAUGAAUGGUUAGGGCAAAUCGUAUGCAACUGAAGCUUUCAUUGACAAAUAAUAAUGUUUUCGUAUAACAUUUAUAAUUAAUCAAUUUACUUUCGAUUUAAUAGGUUUGGAGUAGAAAGGACGUCAAUGACGAAGUUAAAUGGCUUUUCCAAGGUCCGAAUAGAGUAGUAAAAAGAUAUACUGCCUUCUUCAUUAAUGGAUUCAAGUUUCAUACAAAAUCUCGUAAAAGAUUGAGGAGGAUUCAAAAUUGUGGAAUAGUUAAUUCUUCAAUUACAAGUUAUGCUAGUGCUAGGGACAGUAAUCCUGUUGAGGGAAAUGUGGAGUAUUACGAGCCUCUUACUGACAUUAUUGAGUUGGGUUACUAUGGCAAACAGAAAGUUGUCUUAUUUCGAUAUGAUUGGGCUGAUGUUAAUACUGCUCGUAGAAUUAAAAAAAAAGAUCAAUUUGGUUUUACAAUGGUGAAUUUCUCUUGAUUAAUUCACACUGGACAACAAUUGAUAGAUGAGUUGUAUGUAUUUUCAUUUCAAGUCAAAUAAGUUUUUUACUUGAAAGAUCCAAUUGAUGAGGGUUGGUACGUUAUACUCCGUAACACCCCUAAAGACUUGUUUAACAUGGGCAAUGGAAGUAGAGAUGACAUCGACGAAAUAUCAGAAAUUGUCUUUUCCAGAAAAAACUUAAAUGAAAUUAUCCCUAGUACUAGUACACAAUUUCAAUGGGUUCACUAGGAUGUGGAUGAAGAUAUUUAUGAAUUAUGAUGUAAUAAUAUUUUACGAUUUUUUAAUUAUAUGUAAUAUUAUAAUUUAAAUCUUAAUCUUGUUAAAUAUUUCAACUAUUUUAUAUAUACUAUUAUUUUUGUAAUUAGUUACUAAAAUUAUUGUUGUACUAUUAUAUGCAGCCCAUUCUUCUUGGUCUAUUCAAUCUUAUUUUAACAUAUUCUAAAUAUCUAAAAUAGAAAUUCAUAUACUCCUCUGCCAAGUAACAUUUAGCAAUUGAUCUUUCUAGAUAGCGUUUAUUAUGACAAGAAGACUUCAAUUUGCAUAGGAACUUAAACACGAUAUACAACAUUAUCAAAAGUUGUAACUAAAGGUAUAAAGUUGAAUGAAUGAAUACUUUACAAAUAAAUUAGCACCUUUCUAUAGGAUACAUCCAUCGAUAGAAAAUCAGUCCACCAAGUAUUGCUUCAUUAGGGAGAUGGAUUAGCUAGUGUUCCAUAAUAGUGAAGAAGGAAGGUGGAAAGAUAUUCUCCAAAUUGCAUAAAGUCAAAGCGGCUCGGUCUUAUACUUUUUCAAGUUCUUCAACAUUUAAAAUUUUUCCACAAAUAGCUUUCAUUAUAUUGGAUAGUUCAAUUAUACAAGACGUCACCUUUUUUGACAUAUAACAUCGUAAAGCAACUGACAGUAAAUCUUGCAUCAAGAUGUGAUAAUCAUGUGAUUUUAAAGAAUAGUCUUCGAUUUUUAAAACUCACACAUUGAGAUAUAUUUGAUGCAUACGCAUCUGGGACCUUUAUAUCCUUUAACACCGUGUAGAAUACUUCUUUUUCUUUCUUCGACAUUGCAAAAAUAUGUGACAACUGAUAUUUCUCAUUCGAAAGUACUUGGGGAUGAAGAUCAUGCCGAAUUCCCAUGUUAACUAAAUAAGUCGCCUCUGAAAAUUGUUUUUUGAUUUUCCAUCGACAUUCAAAAUUGUCCCAAUGAUGUUCUCGCAAACAUUCUUCUCAAUAUGCAUGACAUCAAGAUUGUGUCGUAAAAUGUGAUGCUUCCAAUAAGGUAACUCAAAAAAAUACUUCUUUUCUUCUAGAAGUUUACUUCAUUAGGAUCAUCCUCUUCAUUAGAUUCAUCCUUCGAUCUUCUCUUUGUUUGCGUGUUGGGUGGUUGAUUCAUCUUUCUAUAACUGAAAUUGAUACCUUUCAAUAUGAACAAGAUUUCAAAUCCAAUGGCCUGCUUAAGAGCUUCUCAUAACUCUUCAGUACCGUCAAAUAGAGUCCUCUGAAAUCUAAAUCUAUGAUUUUUAUUUAAUCACCGACGAUGCCCCAUAUAAGAGAACUUCUUUCCACUAUAUAACCAUUUCGAACAUGUUUGCGCAACAUAAUAAGGACAAGCAUAACGUCCUUUGGUACUCCAACCAGAUAAAUUGACAUAAGCCGGGAAAUCAUUAAUGAUCCACAAAAAAGCUGCACAUAAAUAAAGUUAUUCUUUCUCAAUGCAUCAUAUGUCUCAACACCCGCCCAUAAUUGUUUUAACUCUUCAAUAAGUGACUGUCAAUAAAUGUCAAUAUCAUUUUCGGGAUCUUUCUUUCUAGAGAUAAUCAUAAAUAAGAUAAAAGAAGAUUGCUUCAUACAAAUCUAUGGAGGUAAAUUGUAAGAAACAAGCACUAUAGGUUAAGUACUGUACGAAGUGCUCAUGAUUUUAUAAGGAUUAAAUCCAUCAGAUGCUAGCCCAAGCCUCACACUUCGAGGAUCGCUUGCAAAGCUUGGAAAUUUACUGUCAAAUGAUUUUCAAGUUAAAGAAUCCGCAGGAUGCCUUAAUAAUUCAUCAUCGGUUCGUUGAUCAUGAUGUCACGUCAUAGAUUUGGCUGUCUUUGACGACAUGAAAAGCCUUUGAAGCAUUGGUAUUAGCGGAAAAUAUCAUAAAAUCUUAAUUGGCUUCUUUUUUGACUGUGCUGCACAUUCAUCCUCAUUCACAUCUUCUGUAUUUCUAUUCAUCCAACGAGAUUUACCGCAAACAUGAUAAGACUGUUGGUUUUUCCGAUCACCUCAAUACAACAUGCAGUCAUUUGGGCAACUAUAAAUUUUGUUGCACCCAGGCCUAAAUAUUUUAACAGUUUCUUCAUAUCUUUGCAUGAAUAAGGGAUUUUUACAAACGAAAACAUAUCUCUUAAAAACUCUAACAGUAUUGUCAAAGAAUUUUCGGUCUACCCUCCCAAACAUUUUAAGUGAAAAAGACGAAUAUAGGAUAUUUUUGAAAAUUUUGAUCCAUCAUAAAGUUCUUCAUUCAUUUCAUUAAGUAACGUGUAGGACUUUGCCGCUUCUCCAUUUGGCUCUUCAUCAAGUACACUUCUUUCUGUUUCGGUAAAAGUAUUUCCACCAAGAUUACAAUCAUCAAAUGCAAUAAAGUCAGGUGGAAAUAUUGCAAACCAUGACCGCGCAUGUUAAAUGCAUCCAAUCUUUCUAUCAUCCAAUCUUUUGGAAUUGAUAGAUCCUUUAAAUUUAAUAAUUUAGGUUGUAUUUCUGUAGUAAAUUUAUUAAGUUCGAAGAGCUCAAUAAUUUUGUUAUUUAUCUCUUUAAUUUCAACCUCUGUAGUAUUUGUAUAUUCAUUAAUAGAAGUCCAACUUAUUGCUAGAUCUUCUGCUAGAUCAUGAAUAUCAGAAUUUUUUGUCUGAAUUUUAAAGCAUAAACACUCUUCUAUUAGACAAUUUGUAAUGGAUAUAAAGUAAUUUGGUUUAACCUUAAAUCUUAUUACACUAGUAUGCAAAUUAGACUGAAUUCCUUCAAUAAGUGCUUUUAUUUGAUUUUCAAAUCUUAUCUAAAAGAACAGCUAUUAUAGGAAUAUCAUGAUCUUUCCUAAAUAGUGCUUUAAUAGUAAUCAUUAUUAUCCCUAGAUGGAUAUAUCGUACUUGAAUAUAUUUCUUUCUAUUCCUCUUAAUUUUAUCUUUAGUAAAUAAUGAGAUUUCUGCUAAUCCUCUUCUUGUAUCCUUAGCUACAGUAUUUCCACUUAUCUUCUCUAUAUGCCUCUGAGUCCAUAUUUUAAACUUAAAUAUUUUAUAUAUUUCUUCUUUAGAAAUAUGAUUUUUAUUAAUUUUUUCUAUUAUUUUAUUAGAGAGAUUUUUUUCUUCUCUAAUUAAAUUUCCUAAUUUUAUAUCUUGUUGUUCAGAGUUCGGAAUUUCUUCUAAACCAUAUAGAAAAAUGGGAAAUUAUUAAAAAUCCUAUAAAAGCAAUAGGAAUAGAUGAUAAUAAAACCAUAAUUCAAUAUAAAGCUAAAAAUAUUCCAAUCUACAUAAAUAAUGUAAGGUUUGUAAUUCCUAAAAUUUUAUUUUUCCUGAAAUGUAUGGAGAUAUAUUAUUAGGAGAUAAUUUUAUAUGUCAGUAUUUACCAUUUUCUAUUAAUAAAAAGUCAAUUAGUUUAUUUGUAGAAAUUUCUUAUAUAGAAAUACCAUUAGUUAAUAAUAAUAAAUUUGUGUGUAAUAAAACUUACACCAUUAAAAGAAUAAGUUAUGUACUUUUAUGUACUAAUAAAUUAUUGUUGAUUAUCUUAGCAGGCCUUAUGGAUAGAGGUAAAAAACCUUUAGAAACAGUUGGUGAAUGGAUUGUUAUUUAUAAAAAAACCCAACAAAGGGAAAGUAACAAAUUUUAAACAAGGAUUUGUACCUGUUCAAGUACUAUUUUAUCCUAACUAGUGAUACUAUGUGCUAUAUUCAAUGGUAAAAUCAACCAAUUGGAACUUCUUUAUCAUUGACUCCAAAUACGGUUAGUCAAUCACAAUGGUCCUAAAAUCUAAAUUCAGUGUUUCAAGCCAGUUAUGCUGAAAUGAUUAAGGGAACAGAAAAUUUAUUGAAACAAUAAUAAAUUCAAGAUUUUAAUUAUCUUUCUAAAAUAAAAGAUUUUUAUAAUCUUGGCUUAUCACCAGAAUUUUAUAAUCUUAUUAAUGAAGUAUGGAAAACCCAUAUUUCUGUACAAAAAUCACCAAUUUCAGGGGGUAGGUGCGAGGGUUUAUUGGAAGGCUUGUAUAUUAAAGUAGAGAAAUUUACAAAGGAAAAAACUAUUAGCAAAAGAGAAGAAAGCUAAGUAUUUCUCGAUGCUAUACAAUUGGUUUCCUUCUUCUAUUUAUAACUGAAUUUCAAAACUCUAUACAAUUGUUCUUUGAAUCUCACGCAGUGUUUCUGAUACAGAUCCUAUCUCUUUGUGGAUGUGGUUGCUUCCACGUUGCAUUUGUCGUAUUACUUCUUUGAUUGCAUGAACCUGAUUGCUUCCACUUUGCAUCGUUGAAUUAAUGGUUGUUUCCAUCAUCAUUGCUUACAUUAUUAGUUUGAUGAUAGUUUUGUUUGUAUCUGGAUGCCUUGUUUUUCAAGUUGCUUCUUCUUUCUUGGUGUUAGCCUUUUUUGGCUUUAUCCUUGUUGGAUGUUAACAAGAUUCAUUUCUUCGAUUUCAUCCAAAUUUAAUGAAUCAAAUGAAAGUCUUGGUGAAUUCUAAUUUUCCCA